UGAACUUGCUGAGGUAAUGGAUCGUCUA
rnacentral:piRNA from 1 species